AGAGUUUGAUCCUGGCUCAGAUUGAACGCUGGCGACGUGCUUAACACAUGCAAGUCGUGCGAGAAAGGAGGCUUCGGUCUCUGAGUAGAGCGGCGCACGGGUGAGUAACGCGUGGAUGAUCUACCCUUGAGUUCGGGAUAACGGUGCGAAAGCGCCGCUAAUACCGUAUAACAAUCCAUUUCAUCGUGGGUUCAAAGCAGGCCUCUUCAUGAAAGCUUGCGCUUGGGGAUGAGUCCGCGUCCCAUUAGCUUGUUGGCGGGGUAACGGCCCACCAAGGCAACGAUGGGUAGCUGGUCUGAGAGGAUGAUCAGCCACACUGGAACUGAAACACGGUCCAGACUCCUACGGGAGGCAGCAGUGGGGAAUAUUGCGCAAUGGGGGAAACCCUGACGCAGCGACGUCGUGUGAGGGAAGAAGGCCUUCGGGUCGUAAACCUCUGUCAGAAGGGAAG
rnacentral:rRNA from 1 species